UGGUUCAAGUCAAAUCAGUCCUUGGAGGGGGGAACUCCUGCCUCCUCUUAUGGAUCAUGUUAAAGUAUUUCUAGGUGAACAGAACCUUCAAAUGACUGCCCCUAACUGCAGAAGGUUGGCAAAAGACGCUUUGCUGAGGGGUGCAGAGAGCUGGUGUCUGUUAAUCUUUUCUUCCAGCUUAUCUGGCCUCCUAGGGGGAAAACUGGAGCUACAAGAAGCCGGGUUCCAGGAGAAGCUUUUUCUUGGAAUGACAAGUUUAACUAUAAGACUAGAAGGUGGAGUUGAAGGUGUGUGUGUGUGUGUGUGUGUGUGUGUGUGUGUGUGUGUGUGUGUAGGGGGGGUGGGGAUGUUUGAGAACAAGUGAGAAGGGACAGCCACCAACCUAAAGAGCAUAGGUACUUGCUUACAGGAACUGACAAAACUAGACUUCAGUUGAGCGGAGACACCAACGGAUCCACCUGCUUGGUUGUAAAGAAAGCCAGGAACUAGGUCACCAACCCUAAUAUUUCUCUCUCCUCGUAGAUUUGAAACCAGCUAAAGUUAGGUGCCCAGUUUAUCUGUCUGUGUUACUGUCUCUUGCUCCCUAGUCCCCUUUCUUCACGGCUGGAGGAGUUCUAAUGGUAGUGAAUCCUCUGAGCUGGACAGACCUUAGCUGAAUCUAGAUACUAUAGGCUGGGCCAUCAGUACCUUUCCUGUCUGGAAUUUGCACCCACACCCUUCUCUUGGUCUGUUUUCUAGGCUGCUAACAUUGCUGAAACUGCAUGGAGAAACAUUUUUAUCUUUGUAGAAAAUGCAAUAAUGAUGAUGAUAAUAAUAAUAAUAAUAAUAAUAAUAAUAAUAAUAAUAAUAAUGUAUGAGGGGAAGUUGAGGGCUCUAAUUUGCGAAUACUCAAAUACGGAGGACUUCCUUGGGGAAGCUUGUGACAUUUUCCGAGAUGGGAGGAGGUUAAUUUUCACUAAAACUACAUGGCACACAUAAAUAAGUAACUUGAAGCCCAAGAACGAGGCAUUUCUCCCACUCGACUUUCAGUUCCCAGGAUUACCUGCCUCGACCUCAAAGCCCCGCGGCCUCGGUUGGGAGAGUUUGCGGGUAACUUGCGCUACGCUUUCCCUUUACAGAGUGUUUCCAGACGCACUACUCAAAUGGGCUGAAGAUGAAGUUUUUCUUUUUGUCAGUUGUCACCUUACAAAAGGAGACUGGGCGUGAGGUCCCUUUGUCCCGGUCAAGUUGCGCGUGAAAUCUUUUUGUUGUCUUUUCUAAAGAAAGGCAAAAGUUGCAGUUGGUUGUAAAAAGGACAAAUUUAGCUCCUUGAAAGUGGAGCUUUUUUUUUAAAGUUGCCUGGAGACACUAAGUACGGUAUCACUUUUUAAAAAUUUAUUAACCUCUAAAAAACAUCAUUUAUUUGUUCUAGAAAUCACGAUUUUUGAGGACUUAACAUUAUUUAUUCAUUACUACGAAUGCCUAGUACUUUCUCAGGGAAAAUGAAUUUAAAAUAUCUUUCAUUUGUUGUAGGUGCCACGGGAGAAGAUUUUUAGCAUAAAGUAUUUUAUACCCUGGCCAGAACUGAAACUUGAGAAACAGACAUUUCGAUUUUAAAAUAGAUAUUUUUAGUCGAAAACUAAUAUAACAGGGCUUUAAAAAUGUUUGUGUGAAUUCUGUCCGUUUAUUAAGCUCGCGCAUUUUUUAAAGGCUUUUCGACUAUCUGCUCUCAGAGAAAUUUAAGAAAUUAAGUCAUUCUGAGUCGAUCUUUCGGGGUAACACUAUUAAAAGGCACACAACACUUUAAGGUUGUUUUAGGAGAAUUUCAUGACCACAAAACUGUCUCGAUGUCACCUUACGAAUUCUGAAUCGUUUUGUUUGCAAACGCGUGUUAGAAAUCAAGACUAGCUACCGCGGGAGUUGCAGGUGGCCAGGGGGCUGUAGUCAUUCUCGAAGAAAGACUUGCACUAAUGUACCAGUGUGCUCUCUGGCCGGACUCAAUCGGUAAGGUUGUGGAGAAGGAAACUGAGAUACAGACCCCGGGCUGAGAGAGCAAAGUAGCCACCCUGCAACCUGGAGGGCCCGGAAGACCUGUUGCCCCCCACCCCCACCCCCAAAGUAGCAUUUGUAGGGCAGCGGAACGGCCCUGGUGUGGGGGUGGCUGUUUGGGCGGGCCAAGCUUGGAGGUGUGGAAUGGGCUGGAGGUGGUGGUGGAGAAGGUGGGAAGGGAGCCCAACCGGUCCAGGGUGACUGUGGAGACCAUAGAGGAGGGCGUCGAGGCUCUGGGGGUUGGUGUGGAGGCCUCGGUGUUUGGGCUGCAGGUUGUGUGUGUGGAAUUAGAGGCUCCACACACUUCAGAGGAAGGCCGAUGUGGUAGGGACUGGGCACUGAGGCCCUGGGUGCCGGCCUCCAGACUGAGUCAGCCGAAAAGCACCGGAAGCCCACGUAAAGAUUUCACGUCUCUUUAUUGUUCCACUGAAAGACAUGUAUACGGGGUUUCAUUAUAUUUCGAACUUCUUUUCAUACUUCAUUUUUUAUAGAAAUCGCGUUAUGCAGCAUACACGCAGGGUUCAGGGAUCAUUGCAGAAGAGGGAGCAGAAGGAAUGCGAGAACGGGAAGAGUCCUCAUGUACCGUCGUAUACAUCACUGUAAUAAUCACCAGAUUUGAUUAGUCAUUGAACAUGGAGUCCAGCUUCCCAGUGCUCUGGACACAGCAUAGGCUCUGUCAGAAGUUACAGGAUUCCCAUCAUGUGGAUAGCCCUGGGGCUGGUUCUCUGCACGACGCAUCACUUAAACCACCUGUGAAGUUGAGACGGACUAGAGGAGAAAGUCAGCUGUCAGCGUGAUCACAGUAAUUGUACUACUGUUGACCGAGUGCCCGCUGUGCAAUUUGUAUAGUGCUCUCCACCCCCACUAUGCCACACUCUCACACAGGAGACAUUGUCAGAGAUUCUACAACCAGCAUGUGCCAGAACGGAAACACAGUCUAGCCAUUUUUACACCAGAACUCCUCCGAGGACUAGGGACAGGAAAGCAGAAGGCAGCGAGAGCAAUUGCACUGUCAUCACCGCAAGUCCAGUCAAGUCUAGAACUCCCUCGAGCUUGCCAAGACCCAGUGUGAUCACUAAUCUAGGCAGACAUCCUGGAGGAAGUGACUUCCUGGAAAAUAGCGCCAUGCCAAUUGGACCUUUAGCUGACCUCUGUGCUCAACGAAAAAGUCAACUAACGUUCUGGUCACAGUUGCAGAAGUGUGGAAGAAGAACGCAGGGAUCCAGAGAAUGGCCCCAUCCAGCUUUUUUAAACUGAGGAAGAAGUUGUUACGAUCCUGAAUGGUUAAAAGACAACUUUGGUGCAUCCAGACUUUAAAUCAUGGUGCUCAGUCAAGACCAAAUUCGGAAGGAUGCUGACCAUCCUGAGCCUUCCUGAGGGCACUGCAAACAUUUGGGAGGAUGGCUGCUCACCACCUCCUCUUGCAUUUAGGAGAGGACAAAGCCCGUAUAGGUGCAGCAAUAUGUCAGCCGCCCCCAGAGAGGACGAAAGUAAAUGAAUCGGUGCUGGAGAGUGAAGGAUACCAUCCGUGCAGAAUGGCGAAAGGACUCCCAAACAGCAUCUUCAUUGAUUUUCUUUGUAAUUGACACAGCAUCUCGGUUUGCCUUCAGGCUUCAGCAAGAGAGAAUGGGCAGCCAUGUACACAGAGCUUGCCGGUGUCGGAAUUUAAUAAAAAAAAAAAAAUACCUUCCAAAUGAACGCCCUUUCUUCCUCAUUGUUCCUCUUUCUUUCUCUCUCUUCUUUCUGCUUCCUUGGUGUCCCCUCCUUUCCUAUUUUUCUCUACUCAAUGCCUUCCACCCCCACUUCCAAACAGAAGCAUGCACGGUAAAUAUUACAGUGUGUGCAACCCGGCUGUCACAUCGAUGACUUUAGGAAAAGAA